GGGUUGUGAGGUUAAGCGAACAAGCGUACACGGUGGAUGCCCUGGCAGUCAGAGGCGAUGAAGGACGUGCUAAUCUGCGAAAAGCGCCGGUAAGGUGAUAUGAACCGUUAUAGCCGGCGAUGUCCGAAUGGGGAAACCCAGUGCAAUUCGUUGCACUAUCUCAGCAUGAAUACAUAGUGCUGUGAAGCGAACCGGGGGAACUGAAACAUCUAAGUACCCCGAGGAAAAGAAAUCAACCGAGAUUCCCCCAGUAGCGGCGAGCGAACGGGGAACAGCCCAGAGCCUGAAUCAGCUUGUGUGUCAGUGGAACGGUCUGGAAAGGCCGGCGAUACAGGGUGACAGCCCCGUACACGAAGGCACACAGGUUGUGAGCUCGAUGAGUAGGGCGGGACACGUGAUAUCCUGUCUGAAGAUGGGGGGACCAUCCUCCAAGGCUAAAUACUCCUGACUGACCGAUAGUGAACCAGUACCGUGAGGGAAAGGCGAAAAGAACCCCGGCGAGGGGAGUGAAACAGAACCUGAAACCGUGUACGUACAAGCAGUGGGAGCCUUCGUAAGAGGGUGACUGCGUACCUUUUGUAUAAUGGGUCAGCGACUUAUAUUCUGUAGCAAGGUUAACCGUAUAGGGGAGCCGAAGGGAAACCGAGUCUUAAUUGGGCGUUAAGUUGCAGGGUAUAGACCCGAAACCCGGUGAUCUAGCCAUGGGCAGGUUGAAGGUUGGGUAACACUAACUGGAGGACCGAACCGACUAAUGUUGAAAAAUUAGCGGAUGACCUGUGGCUGGGGGUGAAAGGCCAAUCAAACCGGGAGAUAGCUGGUUCUCCCCGAAAGCUAUUUAGGUAGCGCCUCGUGAACUCAUCUUCGGGGGUAGAGCACUGUUUCGGCUAGGGGGCCAUCCCGGCUUACCAACCCGAUGCAAACUGCGAAUACCGAAGAAUGUUAUCACGGGAGACACACGGCGGGUGCUAACGUCCGUCGUGAAGAGGGAAACAACCCAGACCGCCAGCUAAGGUCCCAAAGUCAUGGUUAAGUGGGAAACGAUGUGGGAAGGCCCAGACAGCCAGGAUGUUGGCUUAGAAGCAGCCAUCAUUUAAAGAAAGCGUAAUAGCUCACUGGUCGAGUCGGCCUGCGCGGAAGAUGUAACGGGGCUAAACCAUGCACCGAAGCUGCGGCAGCGACACUUAUGUGUUGUUGGGUAGGGGAGCGUUCUGUAAGCCUGUGAAGGUGUGCUGUGAGGCAUGCUGGAGGUAUCAGAAGUGCGAAUGCUGACAUAAGUAACGAUAAAGCGGGUGAAAAGCCCGCUCGCCGGAAGACCAAGGGUUCCUGUCCAACGUUAAUCGGGGCAGGGUGAGUCGACCCCUAAGGCGAGGCCGAAAGGCGUAGUCGAUGGGAAACAGGUUAAUAUUCCUGUACUUGGUGUUACUGCGAAGGGGGGACGGAGAAGGCUAUGUUAGCCGGGCGACGGUUGUCCCGGUUUAAGCGUGUAGGUGUGUGUUCCAGGUAAAUCCGGUUCACUUUAACACUGAGGCGUGAUGACGAGGCACUACGGUGCUGAAGUAACAAAUGCCCUGCUUCCAGGAAAAGCCUCUAAGCAUCAGGUAACACGAAAUCGUACCCCAAACCGACACAGGUGGUCAGGUAGAGAAUACCAAGGCGCUUGAGAGAACUCGGGUGAAGGAACUAGGCAAAAUGGUGCCGUAACUUCGGGAGAAGGCACGCUGACAUGUAGGUGAAGCCCCUGCGGGUGGAGCUGAAGUCAGUCGAAGAUACCAGCUGGCUGCAACUGUUUAUUAAAAACACAGCACUGUGCAAACACGAAAGUGGACGUAUACGGUGUGACGCCUGCCCGGUGCCGGAAGGUUAAUUGAUGGGGUUAUCGCAAGAGAAGCUCCUGAUCGAAGCCCCGGUAAACGGCGGCCGUAACUAUAACGGUCCUAAGGUAGCGAAAUUCCUUGUCGGGUAAGUUCCGACCUGCACGAAUGGCGUAAUGAUGGCCAGGCUGUCUCCACCCGAGACUCAGUGAAAUUGAACUCGCUGUGAAGAUGCAGUGUACCCGCGGCAAGACGGAAAGACCCCGUGAACCUUUACUACAGCUUGACACUGAACAUUGAGCCUUGAUGUGUAGGAUAGGUGGGAGGCUUUGAAGCGUGGACGCCAGUCUGCGUGGAGCCAACCUUGAAAUACCACCCUUUAAUGUUUGAUGUUCUAACCUGGCGCCGUGAUCCGGCGUGGGGACAGUGUCUGGUGGGUAGUUUGACUGGGGCGGUCUCCUCCCAAAGUGUAACGGAGGAGCACGAAGGUCAGCUAAUCCUGGUCGGACAUCAGGAGGUUAGUGCAAUGGCAUAAGCUGGCUUGACUGCGAGAGUGACGGCUCGAGCAGGUGCGAAAGCAGGUCAUAGUGAUCCGGUGGUUCUGUAUGGAAGGGCCAUCGCUCAACGGAUAAAAGGUACUCCGGGGAUAACAGGCUGAUACCGCCCAAGAGUUCAUAUCGACGGCGGUGUUUGGCACCUCGAUGUCGGCUCAUCACAUCCUGGGGCUGAAGUAGGUCCCAAGGGUAUGGCUGUUCGCCAUUUAAAGUGGUACGCGAGCUGGGUUUAGAACGUCGUGAGACAGUUCGGUCCCUAUCUGCCGUGGGCGCUGGAGAAUUGAGGGGGGCUGCUCCCAGUACGAGAGGACCGGAGUGGACGCAUCACUGGUGUUCGGGUUGUCAUGCCAAUGGCACUGCCCGGUAGCUAAAUGCGGAAGAGAUAAGUGCUGAAAGCAUCUAAGCACGAAACUUGCCCCGAGAUGAGUUCUCCCUGAGACUAUAAGUCUCCUGAAGGAACGUUGAAGACGACGACGUUGAUAGGCCGGGUGUGUAAGCGCAGCGAUGCGUUGAGCUAACCGGUACUAAUGAACCGUGAGGCUUAACCUUACAACGCCAAAGAAGU
rnacentral:rRNA from 1 species